rnacentral:rRNA from 1 species
GAUGAACGCUAGCUACAGGCUUAACACAUGCAAGUCGAGCGACCGGCGCGCGGGUGAAAAACUCGUAUCCAACCCGCCCUUUACUGGGGGAUAGCCUUUCGAGAGAAAGAUUACUACCCGAUGGAAAGGAUGGGGAUUCGUUACAUUAGGUUGUUGGUGAGGUAACGGCUGACCAAGCAUUCGAUGGAUAGGGGUUAUGAGAGGAAGGUACCCGACAAUGGAACUGAGACACGGUCCAAACUCCUACGGGAGGAAGGAGUGAGGAGUAUUGGUGAAGGGGCGUUAGCCUGACCCAGCCAAGUAUCGGGAAGGGUGAAGGAUUUUGGGUCGUAAACUUCUUUUAUGGAAGAGAAUGUAUUAUAUGAAUAAGGAUCGGCUAACUCCGUGCCAGCAGCCGCGGUAAUUC